rnacentral:tRNA from 1 species
GCCAGCAUGGUGUAGUAGUUUGAGCAUUGGACUACAACUCUGGAAACCAGGGUUCAAAUCCCUGCUCAGCCA